rnacentral:tRNA from 1 species
AUUUAAGUAGCCUAUAGUAAGGGCAUGGUGCUGAAGCUACCAAGGAAGUAUAAUACUCUUAAAUA